rnacentral:piRNA from 1 species
CUGUGAGAAUGCUUGCCUACAUCUGG